rnacentral:lncRNA from 1 species
GAUGAAGCUCUUGUUGGCACCAUAAAUUGGUUUUGCUUCACACUGUCUGGAUCAAGAGUGUGUGAAGCUUUUGAGAAUUGUGGUUGAACUCCUUUGAUGAAGCUCUUGUUGACACCAUAAAUUGGUUUUGCUUCACACUAUCUUGAUCAAUAGUGUGUGAAGCUUUCUACGAGUUGUAGUGUUUGCAUUGUUACAGAGGGGAAAUGUUUGAAGAGGAUGCAAGAGGGCUGAAUAGCUUGAUCUUCGUAUGCCAUGCACUAAAGUUGUUGUUGGCUUUCAAUAAGACUUUGUUGGUGACUAUAACUCUUGUUGGGCAUAAGUACUCCCCUAGUUGAGUUGUCAAGCUUGAGGGUUUUUGAUUAUUUGUGAAUGCUAAGAGUUCACAUGUACAAGUUGUAGAACUC